rnacentral:lncRNA from 1 species
CAUACUAUUAAGAUGGACCAAAUUCAUGCAGAUACAACAUGUCUCACUAGUUCAAAGCGGAGCCACAGGAAGCUUACCAUUGCGCAAUGGAUUUACCAACAAAAGGGCCAGGUAGAUGGCAAGACCAACACAUAUUAUCCAUCCCUGGGUCCUCUAGCUUCCAACGUGUUGCCUCCUCCUUGCCCUUCCUUCAAGAAAAAUAACUUCCUUCAAGAAAAACAACACAUGGUCAGUGCUGCCCUAAUAUAGCAAUCAAGAGUGCUCUAACUUUUCACAUGGUUAGCUUCUAUUUAUCUGGACAUUUGGAUCAACAUACAUCCAAAACUAGCUAAAUAUGAGCACAAGCUUGACUCGUGUGACCAACAAUUUAUUGAUGAAAAUCAUUAAUCAGGAACUAAAUAUUACAUUUUGACAAUCAACAAAUGUUUGGUAAAAUGACAACUUCAGAAGAAAAUGGGCACUCAAGCUAGUUCAGUUUUAGAAAUGUACCCCGUUCAUGAGACCAGCAGCAAAGAACGCAACGAAGCACUUGAGAUAGCCUCGGUUCACCAAGGGCUGGAGAACUUGGCGGGCAACACCAACAGUGAGUCUUCGCUCCAUUCGUGCU